AUCUAGAAUUAAGAUACUAAUUUCAAUUAUAAGAAAUGAAUGGUUCUAAUUCAAAUCAAGCUUUUGGUAUUGACCUUUCUCUUAUGAAAUGAUUUAAUUAUAAAUUUGCAUCGAGAAUUAGAAUAUUGAAAAGCUCGACGGUGAGAUUUGAACUAUGAAUUUCAAGUAAAAAAUUUAAGGACUUGAGCAAAAAAAUUUUCAAGGAUGAAAUUUCUUUUUAGAGGGGGAAUGUAAUACCCAAAACCCUAUAAAAAAAUGGGGG
rnacentral:lncRNA from 1 species